AAUUGAACUCAAGCACUGCAGUUGCUCCGCAAACAAAGUAUAUGUGAAGAAUAUAACGUGCCGCUAUAAACCAAUGAAUCGGACCACAAAAUUUGCAUCGCUUGAUGUGCAUUUUCAACCGGAAGUUAGAUUAAUGAAACCAUUAUAUUUGGAGUUCAUUGCGAAUAAAAAAUUUGGCACAGUUUACAGACCGUCUAUGGUUCAUCUUAAGGAGGACUUAUGCGAUUUUUUAUCAUUAAAAAGUCACCCAGCCUUCCAAAUUCUCAACCACAACGUUCAACGGUCGAAAAGCAAUUUAAUGGAUCCGUGUCCAUUUAUGGGCCAUCGGUUUUUGAAAUCGGUAUCAUCGGACUACAAACACCUACCACCGUUAAUUCCAGUUGGAGAGUGGAGAAUCGAUAACGUUAUAACGCGUUCAAAAGAUAAAAUGGACUGGUCUGAUGAGGUUUUCCGUUUUACCGACUAUUAUCAUGUCUCACCGACGGGCGCCGAACAAUUUUAAGUCACACAAACACACCCACUCUGGAUAGUAGCGUUGCUUUUGUGUGUUGAAAUCACUUUUUAAGAAAAUAUAAACUAUCUCAAU